AUUGAACGCUGGCGGCAGGCCUAACACAUGCAAGUCGAAUGGUAACAGGAAACAGCUUGCUGUUUCGCUGACGAGUGGCGGACGGGUGAGUAAUGUCUGGGAAACUGCCUGAUGGAGGGGGAUAACUACUGGAAACGGUAGCUAAUACCGCAUAACGUCGCAAGACCAAAGAGGGGGACCUUCGGGCCUCUUGCCAUCAGAUGUGCCCAGAUGGGAUUAGCUAGUAGGUGGGGUAACGGCUCACCUAGGCGACGAUCCCUAGCUGGUCUGAGAGGAUGACCAGCCACACUGGAACUGAGACACGGUCCAGACUCCUACGGGAGGCAGCAGUGGGGAAUAUUGCACAAUGGGCGCAAGCCUGAUGCAGCCAUGCCGCGUGUAUGAAGAAGGCCUUCGGGUUGUAAAGUACUUUCAGCGGGGAGGAAGGGAGUAAAGUUAAUACCUUUGCUCAUUGACGUUACCCGCAGAAGAAGCACCGGCAAACUCCGUG
rnacentral:rRNA from 1 species